UACGUAGGGUGCGAGCGUUGUCCGGAAUUACUGGGCGUAAAGGGCUCGUAGGUGGCCAACUAAGUCAGACGUGAAAAUCCCUCGGCUUAACCGGGGAACUGCGUCGUGAUACUGGAUGGCUAGAGAUUGGGAGAGGGAUGCGGAAUUCCAGGUGUAGCGGUGAAAUGCGUAGAUAUCGGGAGGAACACCAAUGGCGAAGG
rnacentral:rRNA from 1 species